rnacentral:rRNA from 1 species
UCAGGCCUAACACAUGCAAGUCGAACGGUAACGCGGGGCAACCUGGCGACGAGUGGCGAACGGGUGAGUAAUGUAUCGGAACGUGCCCAGUAGUGGGGGAUAGCCCGGCGAAAGCCGGAUUAAUACCGCAUGAGACCUAUGGGUGAAAGCGGGGGAUCGCAAGACCUCGCGCUAUUGGAGCGGCCGAUAUCAGAUUAGGUAGUUGGUGGGGUAAAGGCCUACCAAGCCGACGAUCUGUAGCUGGUCUGAGAGGACGACCAGCCACACUGGGACUGAGACACGGCCCAGACUCCUACGGGAGGCAGCAGUGGGGAAUUUUGGACAAUGGGCGCAAGCCUGAUCCAGCCAAGCCGCGUGCGGGAAGAAGGCCUUCGGGUUGUAAACCGAUGGGUCAGGGAAGAAAUCUUCUGGGCUAAUACCUCGGGAGG